rnacentral:lncRNA from 1 species
CCCCGCGCUGGGCGUCCCCACCCCGGACCUCACCGCCUGGGACUAAGACUUUGUCUGACCCUGUGCUGGGGACACAGCGCGGUUUGUCCCGGUGUCCCUGAGCCGCCCAAGGCCAAUGCUGGUCAGGUUCGUCAGGAUGAAACCUGAGAGCUUGAGGAUUCCGGUAAAGUACACGCAGCACUUAAAAUGAAUGUUCACGGAAACAGAUGCUGUCACAGUCCCGCUGUGUCCUAGGUUCAGAGGAUACUCUUGGGAGUAGGAACACUCCCUGUUGCUGGAGAAAAGAGACGGAUAAAGACCCCACACAAGCGUCCCUCACCAGAGCAUGGAAACUCCAGGAGGGCCACCAGAGGCCUCUACCCAGAUGUUUACAUGAGGCACUAACAAGGAAAGAGGGAGCAGGAUUCAACAAAAUGCUUCAGAGGGCAAAGGUGCUGUCACUAAAACUGACAACCUGAGUUCACGCCGGGAAACCCACAGGGUGGAGGACAGACACCCAAUAGUGUCCUCUGAUCUCUACAUGCUGUGGUAUGUACACACACGCACGUACGCAGCAGGCAGCACACACACACACACACACACACACACGCGC